rnacentral:rRNA from 1 species
AUUCCAGCUCCAGUAGCGAAUAUUAAAGUUGUUGCAGUUAAAAAGCUCGUAGUUGGAUUUCUGGCUUUAUAGAACUGACCCGCCACGUUAGUGUGUGAGUGUCGGCUUCUAAAUGCCAUCCUUCCACAGAACGUUUCUACUCUUGAUUGAGCCGGAUUCGCAAUGUGGAACUUUUACUUUGAAAAAAUUAGAGUGUUCAAAGCAGGCUUACGCUAUGAAUACAUUAGCAUGGAAUAAUAAUCUAGGACUUUGGUUCUAUUUUGUUGGUUUCUAGAACUGGAGUAAUGAUUGAUAGGGAUAGUUGGGGGUGCUAGUAUUCAGCGGCCAGAGGUGAAAUUCUUGGAUUCGCUGAAGACUAACUUAUGCGAAAGCAUUCACCAAGGAUGUCUUCAUUG